rfam:Ornithorhynchus anatinus chromosome 3, whole genome shotgun sequence.
AGUAGCGUGGCUCAGUGGAAAGAGCCUGGGCUUUGGAGUCAGAGGUCAUGGGUUCGAAUCCCAGCUCGGCCA